rnacentral:rRNA from 1 species
GAAAGCGUAAUAGCUCACUGGUCGAGUCGGCCUGCGCGGAAGAUGUAACGGGGCUAAACCAUGCACCGAAGCUGCGGCAGCGACGCUGAUGCGUUGUUGGGUAGGGGAGCGUUCUGUAAGCCUGCGAAGGUGUGCUGUGAGGCAUGCUGGAGGUAUCAGAAGUGCGAAUGCUGACAUAAGUAACGAUAAAGCGGGUGAAAAGCCCGCUCGCCGGAAGACCAAGGGUUCCUGUCCAACGUUAAUCGGGGCAGGGUGAGUCGACCCCUAAGGCGAGGCCGAAAGGCGUAGUCGAUGGGAAACAGGUUAAUAUUCCUGUACUUGGUGUUACUGCGAAGGGGGGACGGAGAAGGCUAUGUUGGCCGGGCGACGGUUGUCCCGGUUUAAGCGUGUAGGCUGGUUUUCCAGGCAAAUCCGGAAAAUCAAGGCUGAGGCGUGAUGACGAGGCACUACGGUGCUGAAGCAACAAAUGCCCUGCUUCCAGGAAAAGCCUCUAAGCAUCAGGUAACAUCAAAUCGUACCCCAAACCGACACAGGUGGUCAGGUAGAGAAUACCAAGGCGCUUGAGAGAACUCGGGUGAAGGAACUAGGCAAAAUGGUGCCGUAACUUCGGGAGAAGGCACGCUGAUAUGUAGGUGAAGUCCCUUGCGGAUGGAGCUGAAAUCAGUCGAAGAUACCAGCUGGCUGCAACUGUUUAUUAAAAACACAGCACUGUGCAAACACGAAAGUGGACGUAUACGGUGUGACGCCUGCCCGGUGCCGGAAGGUUAAUUGAUGGGGUCAGCGCAAGCGAAGCUCUUGAUCGAAGCCCCGGUAAACGGCGGCCGUAACUAUAACGGUCCUAAGGUAGCGAAAUUCCUUGUCGGGUAAGUUCCGACCUGCACGAAUGGCGUAAUGAUGGCCAGGCUGUCUCCACCCGAGACUCAGUGAAAUUGAACUCGCUGUGAAGAUGCAGUGUACCCGCGGCAAGACGGAAAGACCCCGUGAACCUUUACUAUAGCUUGACACUGAACAUUGAGCCUUGAUGUGUAGGAUAGGUGGGAGGCUUUGAAGUGUGGACGCCAGUCUGCAUGGAGCCGACCUUGAAAUACCACCCUUUAAUGUUUGAUGUUCUAACGUUGACCCGUAAUCCGGGUUGCGGACAGUGUCUGGUGGGUAGUUUGACUGGGGCGGUCUCCUCCUAAAGAGUAACGGAGGAGCACGAAGGUUGGCUAAUCCUGGUCGGACAUCAGGAGGUUAGUGCAAUGGCAUAAGCCAGCUUGACUGCGAGCGUGACGGCGCGAGCAGGUGCGAAAGCAGGUCAUAGUGAUCCGGUGGUUCUGAAUGGAAGGGCCAUCGCUCAACGGAUAAAAGGUACUCCGGGGAUAACAGGCUGAUACCGCCCAAGAGUUCAUAUCGACGGCGGUGUUUGGCACCUCGAUGUCGGCUCAUCACAUCCUGGGGCUGAAGUAGGUCCCAAGGGUAUGGCUGUUCGCCAUUUAAAGUGGUACGCGAGCUGGGUUUAGAACGUCGUGAGACAGUUCGGUCCCUAUCUGCCGUGGGCGCUGGAGAACUGAGGGGGGCUGCUCCUAGUACGAGAGGACCGGAGUGGACGCAUCACUGGUGUUCGGGUUGUCAUGCCAAUGGCACUGCCCGGUAGCUAAAUGCGGAAGAGAUAAGUGCUGAAAGCAUCUAAGCACGAAACUUGCC